rnacentral:rRNA from 1 species
AGUCGAGUGCGCAGUUUUCUGUAGCAAUACAGGGAAUGGGCGCACGGCGCACCGGGUUGAGUUAACACGUGGGUAAAUCUGCCCUCGACAUCGGGAUAGCCCGGGGAAACCCGGAUUAAUACCGAAUAGCCCCAUCCGUUUUCGGAGCGGCUGGAAAAGGUAGCUUUGGCCUCUGGUCGAGGAGGAGCCCGCGGCGGAUUAGCUUGUUGGUGAGGUAAUGGCCCACCAAGGCGACGAUCCGUAGCUGGUCUGAGAGGACGAUCAGCCACACUGGGACUGAGACACGGUCCAGACUCCAUACGGGAGGCAGCAGUGGGGAAUCUUGCGCAAUGGGCGAAAGCCUGACGCAGCGACGCCGCGUGCGGGAAGAAGGCCUUCGGGUUGUAAAGCUCUUUAGUCCGGAGCGAAAAGGUUACGGUGAAUAUCCGUGACUACUGACG